AGUAACACCUCUGGCCCCUCCCUCCUCCCUGAAUAAUCUGUGUUCUCUCUCAUAGCUAGCCAGAUAUACUAAAAGCACAGGACUAGGCAUGAAGAUGGAGGGAGGAACCCAGAUUAGUUAUUGCUUCCCAUUUGCUUGAUAUUGGCCUGGUUAGUUAUCUUCUAACCCCGUUUCUUCACCGCUAAACUAGGAGAGAAGACUUGAAAUGUUCCCAGCACUUAGAAAUGAGAAAUAUUCGAGGUGAUGGAUACCCCAGUCAAGUACCUCUUGACUUGCUACUGGUACCUGGAAGAGAUGUAACACCUGACCAUGGGACAUCAAGUGACUGUGUGAAUCAAACUGCCCAUCAUGAAUUGUUGUUAUUUGACUCAUCAAACUGUACAACUGGAUGAACACAGGAGCAGUGCACUACAUAUGGGACUGGAACCAUGAAUGAGCAGGUGACUCAGACUCCUAUAGUACCUGCCUCUACUCCUUCAGCACUUCUCCCUCAACCCACAUAAACUGUCAUCAUAAUGAGUUCCCUCUGACCAGUUAAUGGAAGAGAAAAAAGUAUGGAUGUUAUGGAUAUCCUAACAUAUUUCUGGCCAUUGGACCCCUAGAAACCUGUGGCAAGUCCUGGAAGUUUUUCAAGGUUCAUCUUGCACCUUCUAGCAUGCAUAUGUCGUACCAAAGCAUGUAGAAUGCUGCCUACUUCUGCUCUUCAGUUUCAUUUAAUAUAAUUUCAUUACUCUGAUAAAUCAGUGUGAUGUUCUAUGGAAUAACAAAAGACCAUCAAGGUCCCUUCAUACCAUAUAGAGAACAGGAGAGUUGAUGUAGCCUGAGACAAGACAGUAAGGACUUACUGUUAUCCCUCCUAUUUAAACGUAGUCUGUUUCUGAUUCUCCUUAGAAUGGGGGUGGGGGGACAUUUCCAGAUCAAUAUCAGAUCAGUAUCAUGUCAACAUGGGUAUUAAUUUCUUCCGAAGAAGAUACCACACCUAGAACAGCAACCAUAAUUGGCAUCCCUACCUAAUUAAAGUUUGCAGUCCACUGUCAUUCUUCA
rnacentral:lncRNA from 10 species